UAGAUUGAACAUAUCAAAAUUUGCUCAAUGCUAUAAUAGCACGAAUCAAUACACCAGCUAAACGUAAUGUACAGUAAUACCAUGAUACCUAACAUUAAAGGUAACGUGAAAUUGACGCAGAAGACUUCUAAAGUACCAAUUAUUUCAAAACAAAAGAAUUAAUACAAAAUUGUUGAUAGAUGCAGAGAAUUACUUGGGCUUUCCCAAAAUUAUAUAAUUUUUUUUUUGCGUUGACUGUUAAUAGCAUCAAGAGUUCAUGUGUGCUACAUCCGUUGUCGUUUUGCUGGACUGCAACCAUUUUCUUCAGAUUUGCUUCCCUUGCUUUCUUCAUAUUUGAAGGUCCAACCAGUAAAAUCAUCCGAGAACAAAAGAGAAGGUGUUGCUUUAUAAAAUGCCAGCGGGACCUGUUUUACUCUUCGUCUCAGCUGCAAUUUAGUCACCAAGCACAACCAAAUGAAUCACAUUAAAAAAAUUCUAAAGAAAUUAAAAACAGCCUUAUCUCUUUAUAAUAACAGGAACAAAAUCAGCAACUCCUUAACACUACUAUAUCUCAUCUUACAAAAUGAACCACCCACUGUAUUUGACAUAAUCUUAAUUCUCAAUUUGCAGCUUUUAUUUAGGAUAACAAAUAGAAGUACAGACAAGAAAAAUUAUAGGCUAGUAGCUAUUGUCGUCCCUAAUGCUACAACAGAUUAAUUUGUGAAGAAACAACAUACUUGGGCCUAGUUUAGUUGUGGAAAACAAUACAUGUUCUCCAGAAAAUUAUUCAAAGAAAAUUGAAAUGGAGUUUGGUGUUCAAUUAUCCAAAUUUUCCAUAUGGAAAACUAGAAAGCAAUAUCAAAAAAUUUCUUAAAUUUACACUUACCAUCAAAAAAUUUUCCAUAGUGUUUUCUAAACUUCCUCUUAUUGUCAUGAGGAGCCGCCUGUCAAUGGAAAAAGAAAACACACAUGUUUUCUCUUCUUCAUUGCUUUGUUGCUAGGUUCAAACCCCAGCAACAACUUUUUUUCAAGUUUCAUUUUUGUGCAUGUCUUAAAGGUUAUUAUCUCAUGUACAUCAAGCAUUGGAUGAUAGACUAGUUGGACACAAAAUAAUUUUACGCUUUGUUGCUGGAUUCGGAUUAAAACAGCUUUUUUUUCCUAUUUUUAUUUUAUUUUUUUAUUUCUUCAAUUAAUUCUGCGUUUUAAGAUUGUUUAAACUAAGAUAUAAGAAAGCUAUUUUUCCAAAUAUAAUGAUGACUUCAGACUUAACUAAAGCUAUCCUUCAUAUUUUUAUUUUUUCUCAAUAACUUGCUCAAUAAUAUAUUAAAUUUUUGUUAAUGUUAAUAUAUUACAGUAAAUAAUUUUAGGACUAAAAAAUAUUUGAGUAAAAUAUUAAUUACAUUAUAUUUAAAUUGAAAUGCUAAAUUAUUUAUAGGCUCACAUUUAAAUCAUUAGUAUAAAAUAAAAAUUAAAAGUUAUUUAGCAAAAAGAGAAGAAUAUUUACAAAGCGAAAAUGUAGGACUAAUGAAAAAUGUGAGUUAAAUGAACAUGUGUUCUAGUUUUCCAAUUUCUUGGAAAACGAAAAAUAGAUCCGCAACUAAACAAGGUCCUAACAUUCCUCAAAAAUUUUAAGAUACUCAAAUUUUGGUUUAGUGAUAGUAGGACGUUUCGAAUGACAGAUCUCCCGAGGUAAGUUAAACUUGACUGAAUUAAUUGGA
rnacentral:misc_RNA from 1 species